GCAGCUUUUAUGUAUUUUUCCAUAGGCUCAAUGUUAAACAUUUGCCCUGUUUCCAUGACAAUGGCGGCCAUUUUAGAAUUUCCUUAUAUUGUCACAACAUCUUGGCAUACUAAGGAACAUUACCAUAAAGUUUCAUCCAGCUAGGUCUUAUAACGAAAGAUUUAGAAUUUUGAAAAUUUUUCACUUUUUAGCAGUUUCCAUGGAAAAAUUCCCAGAGUCAGAUGCACAACUUCAAAUGGGGGUCCUCAUUAUGUUAUAGUUCCAACAACAUUGGAUCACUCAAUUCUUAGAAACACGAUGGACAAAAUGUGUGGAAGAAUAAUAAAAAUAAGAAAAAAAAGAAACGUAGAAUAACAAUACGUCACCCCAACUCCGUUGAGGGUGCCAUAAUAAGAAGUGAGCAAAAACAAUAAGUCUCCAAACUUUGUUUGGGAGACUUAAUAA
rnacentral:lncRNA from 1 species